UACGAAGGGGGCUAGCGUUGUUCGGAAUUACUGGGCGUAAAGCGCGUGUAGGCGGGUCUUUAAGUCAGGGGUGAAAUGCCAAGGCUCAACCUUGGAACUGCCUUUGAUACUGGAGAUCUUGAGUCCGGGAGAGGUGAGUGGAAUUGCGAGUGUAGCGGUGGAAUGCGUAGAGAUCCGGAAGAACACCGGUGGCGAAGGCGGGUCUCUGGGCAGUAACUGACGCUGAGGAGCGAAAGCGUGGGGAGCGAACAGG
rnacentral:rRNA from 1 species